rnacentral:tRNA from 1 species
GGACGAGUAGCUCAGUUGGUUAGAGCAUUCGCUUGACGUGCGAAAGGUCGGGGGUUCAAGUCCCUUCUCGUCCA